rnacentral:rRNA from 1 species
GACGAACGCUGGCGGCGUGCUUAACACAUGCCAGUCGAACGGAAAGGCCCUGCUUUUGUGGGGUGCUCGAGUGGCGAACGGGUGAGUAACACGUGAGUAACCUGCCCUUGACUUUGGGAUAACUUCAGGAAACUGGGGCUAAUACCGGAUAGGAGCUCCUGCUGCAUGGUGGGGGUUGGAAAGUUUCGGCGGUUGGGGAUGGACUCGCGGCUUAUCAGCUUGUUGGUGGGGUAGUGGCUUACCAAGGCUUUGACGGGUAGCCGGCCUGAGAGGGUGACCGGCCACAAUGGGACUGAGAUACGGCCCAGACUCCUACGGGAGGCAGCAGUGGGGAAUAUUGCACAGUGGGCGGAAGCCUGAUGCAGCAACGCCGCGUGCGGGAUGACGGCCUUCGGGUUGUAAACCGCUUUCGCCUGUGACGAAGCGUGAGUGACGGUAAUGGGUAAAGAAGCACCGGCUAACUACGUG